rnacentral:rRNA from 1 species
CCUACGGGUGGCAGCAGUAGGGAAUCUUCCACAAUGGGCGAAAGCCUGAUGGAGCAACGCCGCGUGGGUGAAGAAGGUCUUCGGAGCGUAAAACCCUGUUGUUAGAGAAGAAAGUGCGUGAGAGUAACUGUUCACGUGUCGACGGUAUCUAACCAGAAAGCCACGGCUAACGACGUGCCAGCAGCCGCGGUAAUACGAAGGUGGCAAGCGUUAGCCGGAUUUAUUGGGCGUAAAGGGAACGCAGGCGGUCUUUUAAGUCUGAGGUGAAAGCCUUCGGCUUACCCGGAGUAGUGCAUUGGAAACUGGGAGACUUGAGUGCAGAAGAGGCGAGUGGAACUCCAUGUGUAGCGGUGAAAUGCGUAGAUAUCUGGCAGAACCCCAGUGGCGAACGCGGCUCUCUGGUCUGUAACUGACGCUGAGGUUCGAACGCGUGGGUAGCAAACAGGAUUAGAUACCCCAGUAGUC